rnacentral:rRNA from 1 species
GACGAGCGCUGGCGGCGUGCUUAACACGUGCAAGUCGAACGGAAAGGCCCUGCUUUUGUGGGGUGCUCGAGUGGCGAACGGGUGAGUAACACGUGAGUAACCUGCCCUUGACUUUGGGAUAACUUCAGGAAACUGGGCCUAAUACCGGAUAGGAGCUCCUGCUGCAUGGUGGGGGUUGGAAAGUUUCGGCGGUUGGGGAUGGACUCGCGGCUUAUCAGCUUGUUGGUGGGGUAGUGGCUUACCAAGGCUUUGACGGGUAGCCGGCCUGGGAGGGUGACCGGCCACAUUGGGACUGAGAUACGGCCCAGACUCCUACGGGAGGCAGCAGUGGGGAAUAUUGCACAAUGGGCGGAAGCCUGAUGCAGCAACGCCGCGUGCGGGAUGACGGCCUUCGGGUUGUAAACCGCUUUCGCCUGUGACGAAGCGUGAGUGACGGUAAUGGGUAAAGAAGCACCGGCUAACUACGUG